rnacentral:misc_RNA from 1 species
AAGUCGUAACAAGGUUUCCGUAGGUGAACCUGCGGAAGGAUCAUUAACACGUAUCCAACGUUAAACCCGCUGCUCCUCUCGACGUCAGCAAUCCUGGUAAAUCAGUGGCGAAAGUAGUCUUUGAUUCAGGACCUCUGAAGUUGUAAGCAGGCAGUUUGAGCCUUCUAUCGCCAGUCUGGAGUCCUGGCCGGGCGGAUGAAAGUGUCGCUAGACGGUUUCUAGGGUAAGGCUUCUCCAUCGCCGGUGUAUCACACGCCGAAGCGGACAGACUGCAGGGUGUAGUGCCCCUUUACGACGACCAAGUUAAAUUAGGCCUCUACCACAUAGCAAGUGCGCCGUGGUAGAGGAAAACGUACAACUGUUAACAAUGGAUAUCUUGGUUCUC